rnacentral:rRNA from 1 species
UUGAUAGCUUGCUAUCAGAUGACGAGCGGCGGACGGGUGAGUAAUACUUAGGAAUCUACCUAGUAGUGGGGGAUAGCACGGGGAAACUCGUAUUAAUACCGCAUACGACCUACGGGAGAAAGGGGGCAACUUGUUGCUCUCGCUAUUAGAUGAGCCUAAGUCGGAUUAGCUAGAUNGUGGGGUAAAGGCCUACCAUGGCGACGAUCUGUAGCUGGUCUGAGANNNNGAUCAGCCACACCGGGACUGAGACACGGCCCGGACUAAUACGGGAGGCAGCAGUGGGGAAUAUUGGACAAUGGGGGCAACCCUGAUCCAGCCAUGCCGCGNNUGUGAAGAAGGCCUUUUGGUUGUAAAGCACUUUAAGCAGUGAAGAAGACUCCGUGGUUAAUACCCACGGACGAUGACAUUAGCUGCAGAAUAAGCACCGGCUAACUCUGUGCCAGCAGCCGCGGUAAUACAGAGGGUGCAAGCGUUAAUCGGAAUUACUGGGCGUAAAGGGAGCGUAGGUGGCUCUGUAAGUCAGAUGUGAAAUCCCCGGGCUCAACCUGGGAACUGCAUCUGAAACUGUAGAGCUAGAAUAGGUGAGAGGAAGGUAGAAUUUCAGGUGUAGCGGUGAAAUGCGUAGAGAUCUGAAGGAAUACCGAUGGCUAAGGCAGCCUUCUGGCAUCAUAUUGACACUGAGGCUCGAAAGCGUGGGUAGCAAACAGGAUUAGAUACCCUGGUAGUCCACGCCGUAAACGAUGUCUACUAGUCGUUGGGUCCCUUGAGGACUUAGUGACGCAGCUAACGCAAUAAGUAGACCGCCUGGGGAGUACGGCCGCAAGGUUAAAACUCAAAUGAAUUGACGGGGGCCGCA